rnacentral:lncRNA from 1 species
CAGGUUCAUUCUCUUCAUGUUUGUAACCUUUAAGGAUAUUUUGUGAUUUUGGCAAUGAAGCCCUUUAUCUACUUCCUCAGAGUCAGGUCUCUGCAACCAGUAUGAAGGAAGUUAGAGGUAGUUUUGUGAGCCAAUGCUAACUAGCAUUAGCGCAAUGGACUGGAAGACUAUGGCAUCUACUAGCAUGCUAGCAGUUACCAUAGACUUCCAGGCAUGACGGUAACACUAGUUAGCAAUUGCACAGUUAGCAAAUUCCUUCAAACUGCAUGCAGAGACAUAAAAAUGGUAUCCACAAGAUCAUGACUCUGGGGAAGCAGAUACAAGGCUUAAUUGCCAAAAUCAUUACAUAAAACAAUACAAAUGGAGCUAAAGUUUGAAACUUGCUGUAAUACAUCAAGGGGGGUGUCUACAUCCUCAAUUGAUAAAGUAAAUCUUUGUUAUUACAUACAGUACAGGUCUCUUGUAAGUCUUACCUCAGUGAGCUCCUUGAUGCUGUAGAUGUUGGCCUGCUGAGUCACCUUCCUCUUCACCUCCUCUAUGUGGUCCAGGUUGAGGGGGGGGAGGGUUGUUUGGGGAGCCUGGCUAGGAGGGGGCUUGUUGGUGAUGGUGGGGAGGGGAGCCAUCUGGGGCAUGUUUGACAUCUGGGCCAUGUUGGUGAGGGCUGCAGUCAUGGUGGCAGCUUUCAUACUGGCCAUGGCAGCACUCAUGGCCAUAUUGGACAUGUUCAUGUUGGGCAUGUUCAUGUUGGGCAUGUUCAUGUUGGGAAUUCCCAUGCCGGGCAUGUUGAGAGGCAAGGGCAGGGGAAGAGGCAGAUUCAGAGGGGUUGGGGCUGGGUUGGGCAGGGGAAGCUGGAGGAUGGCCUUGGGUCUCAGACUCUCUGGAAUGGGCACACCUGCUUUAGCACACAUGGCUGCUGCAUUGGCCUUCGCUAUCUCCAGGAGCUGGUCUUUGUCUGUGAAGAGAGAAAGGGGAGAGGAAAGGGGAGAACAGACAUCUGUCAACAGUGGAAUUUUAGACUACAUUAUCACACCUAAUCUGUUCUAAGGUGCCUAGAACAGCCACCAUUAAACUGAGGGUACAUAACUAUGACAAUACAUUGGAUUGGUGUAUGUAUAUACGGAGUGGCUGCGGAUCCAAGUUCUUUGGUACCCUCUUUCCGACAGCUAAAGGUACUAAGCUUCUGCACAUGUGUGGGAUUCUCUACUUUACACCCAGUCUCUGCUGUACUCGUUCAGCUGUCCAGAGAACAGGCUACUCUGGCGAAUGGUGCUUGUUUAAUAAAGUUCGAUCAAAUCUGAAACAAUGUCUGCUAGAUAGCAUGAUAGUAUUCUAUAUAACAGAACCAAAUAUAAUAGCAUAGUAUUACGUUACUGUAAGACAAAAAACACCCUAAAAUAUCAUAAGAAACUAGGUGAUGAUUGUGAGAAUGCUCACAUUCAAGUCUAAGUUUUACUGAUGAAACGUCCAUGCAGCAUCAAUUAGUUUCAUGGGGAUAUGCAUUUAGAUCUUCUUGAGCUAGCAACAGUGUCGUUCGAAGUAACCUAGUGUUGUUUUGAAUUAUGUACAAUGAGCGAAUUCUAUUGCAAAUUUUGUUAAACUGUAGCAUACCUGUGUUUUGUUUCAAUCAAAGCACAUAUUUUGCUUAGUGGUGCACGCGGUUGAGUUUUGGCUGCAUGAGAGAAGUGCGACCAUUCGCACAAUCGUCCAAAAAUCUCGUAAGAAAUUAGGUGGUUAUUUUUGUCUUACAGUAACGUUAUACUAUGCUAUUAUAUUCGGUAAAACACUAUCAUUAUGUGAUCUUGCAGACAUUGAUUCAGCUUUCGCCAGAGUAGCCUGUACUCUGGGCAGCUGAACAAGUAGAGCACAGAUUGUGUGUAAAAAAGAGAAUCCUGCACAUGCGCAGAAGCUUCGUAGCUUUAGCUGUCGGGAAGAGGGUUCCAAAAAACCCCAUACUUGUAGUCUUACCCAGCUCAGUGAGACGAGGAGGGGUCUUGCUGGCACUGCGGCGGGUUCGAGAUGUGGACCGGCGCUUGCGGAGGAUGAGGAUGGGUGAAUGGCUUGGUUCCCGUUUCCAUCGGUCGCGGCGGUCAAACGAGCGAUUUCGCAUGAUGGGUCGGCGCCGUCGCGACCCGGACCUUCUCCUCCGGCCUGGAGAGCGAGACUUGAGGCGUUUGCUCCUGUCUGUGGAUUUGGACCUCUUCCUUCUGGCCGGGGAGCGGGACUUUGAGUGCUUGGCCCUGGACUUGGAACGCGAUUUCCUGCGCCGUGCUGGUGACUUAGAGCGUGAUCUCCUGCGCCGGACAGGACUUCUGGACUUGGACCUCUUCUUCCGUCUGGCAGGCGGGGAGACAGACUUCCUUUUCCUGGAUGGGGACUUGGAACACCUCCUUCUAGAGGCAGAUUUGGACUGAGAGGGAGAGGUGGACGUCUUUCUGCCGGCAGGUGAGUGGGACUUCCUGGCAGGAGAUGCUGAUUUUGAGGACUGACGUUGUUUCAAGGAUGAUGCCUUCUUGAUGGAGGAUUUAGAAGAUGAUGCCCUGUAGCGACGAUCAGCACAAACGGUCUCUGGUGAAACAGACCUGGAGAUAGCAUGCUCAUCUGGCUCUUCUUCAGAGGAGCUUGUUGGGCUUCUUGCUCCCUUUGGAUAUUCUGCUGCGGAGUCAUGGUCUUCAGAUGGAAUCUCAGAGCUGCUCUCGUCAGCCUGCCCAGCCACUGGCUUGCCCUGUAUGAUAGAACUGGAGGCUGCAGCCCAAGGGAAGGGCUUCCAGGGCCCUGCUGCAGCUGCUGCUACAGCCUCCCCAACAGGCUUGGUAGGUGCUUCAUCAUUCACAGUCUUGUCUGCAGUAUGUUUGACCGAUUUCAGGUCUUUGGCAGCAGACCUGGAUCUUGAGCGUUCUGGGGAUACGCUCUCAGAUUGCCUGUCGCUUAAGACAGACCUGGAUUUCGAUAUGUCUCUUUUGGGCGAUUUUGACAGUGAACACUUGUUUCUUUUCAGGGAUUUGGAUUUAGGAGUACGAGACCUGUUACAUGGCGAUGGUGAUCUUGAUGGUUUACUGCGUCUUGGGGAUCUGGACUUUGUCCUGCUCCGCUUUGGUGAUCUAGAAAGUAUUUUCUGUACUGGUGAACUGGAUUUCCUGCAGCUCCUGGAGCGGGACUUGGUGUUCUUGCCGGUUGGGGAUUUGGACAGUGAGCCUUUCCUGUUCCUCUUCAGGAUCACGACAGAGCGGGAGCGAGUACGCUUGCCUCUCCUGACUGGAGACCGGGACCGUCGUGUCCUGGGGGGGGACCUCUUCCUGUGAGACGGGGAGCUGCUCUUGGAGCGCCGACCUCUUCUCCGGGACCGGGAAUGACGGAGCCGUCUAGAUUUGGAGCGUGAGCGGCGAGUCAGCCUCACAGGCGAGCGGGACCUCGAGGGUCUACCACGACGAGGGGGAGGGGUCCUGAUCCUCGACCUCCUGACACGACCACGAGGCCUGGACUCAGACCGCCGCCCUCGUCUUGGAGACGGAGACAGUUUGCGGCCCCUCCUAGGGGACAAAGGAGAAGACUUGCGUCCCCACCUGGGGGACAAAGGAGACGACUUGCGUCCCCUCCUGGGGGACAAAGGAGACGACUUGCGCCUUCUCCUGGGGGACAGAGAAGGGGACUUGCGCCUUCUCCUGGGGGACAGAGAAGGGGACUUGCGUCCUCUCCUGGGGGACAGAGAAGGGGACUUGCGUCCUCUCCUGGGGGACAGAGAAGGGGACUUGCGUCCUCUCCUGGGGGACAGAGAAGGGGACUUGCGUCCUCUCCUGG